rnacentral:rRNA from 1 species
GACGAACGCUGGCGGCGUGCCUAACACAUGCAAGUCGAGCGGAGAAAUUAAAGCUUGCUUUAAUUUCUUAGCGGCGGACGGGUGAGUAACACGUGGGCAACCUGCCCUUGAGAGGGGGAUAACACAGAGAAAUUUGUGCUAAUACCGCAUAACAUUUAGACUUCGCCUGGAGUUUAAAUCAAAGGAGUAAUCCGCUCAAGGAUGGGCCCGCGGCGCAUUAGCUAGUUGGUGAGGUAAUGGCUCACCAAGGCGACGAUGCGUAGCCGACCUGAGAGGGUGAUCGGCCACAUUGGAACGGAGACACGGUCCAGACUCCUACGGGAGGCAGCAGUGGGGAAUAUUGCGCAAUGGGGGAAACCCUGACGCAGCAACGCCGCGUGAGCGAUGAAGGCCUUCGGGUUGUAAAGCUCUGUCUUUGGGGACGAUAAUGACGGUACCCAAGGAGGAAGCCACGGCUAACUACGUGCCAGCCGCCGCAGUAAUAC